AGUCAGUGGAAAGGAAAGUCUUGGGAUAGAGCGUGCCGUUGGAGUUGAGAACAUUGCUCUCUCCCUGCCUCUUUAUUAAAUCCCCCAAAAUAAAACUUCUUUCUUUAAAAAAAAAUCUAAUCCUGGAAGUUUGCUCGCCUCCUUCUCAUUCCUGGGCUGGCUCUACUCUCCGCCCACCCGCACCAGCCACAGGGGAGAGCGGCCGCUGCUGCUGCUGCUGUUGCUGCUGCGGUUGUUGCUGCGGUUGCUGUGGCUGCUGCUGCUGCUGCUGCUGCGGUUGCUGCUGCCGGUUGCUGCUGCUGUUGCAGUUAAGGCCACGUUUCAGGGCCCGGGGCCGGGGGGAGUGAGUGAAUGAGGGGAGGGCUUUCUCUAGCCAGCCCCGGCUGCGAGGAGGCCAGGCCUUAGCGGGGGAAACAAAAGAGCCAGCGAUGUCGGGAGCCUAGAGACGGACACACGUACACACACGGGCAGGCGGAAACACCCCCCCCCCCCCUUCACACACAGACACACCCUCGCUCAGAGUUUUCUCUUGC
rnacentral:lncRNA from 1 species